UACUAGUGAUGAGGGCAUUGAACCAAUAGCAACUUAAAUCUUUCCCAUGCUUCAUGAAUUGGUUCCCCCUCUAUCUGAGAAAAUGAACAGAUCUCAUUCCUCAAGUC